rnacentral:rRNA from 1 species
AUGGUACAACUCUCAAGUUACAGCAAAUUAGCAGUUCGAUAUACUAGAGACACAGGGUGGUACUCACGGGAAAAGCAAGAACAAAGAAAACAAAUUGGGGAUCCCACCAUCGAUGCUUACCUAGAAGCGCCCACUCCCUCCAGCCCGAGGUGCAAGGCGACGGCGGACGGAGUUGUCGGAAGCUGUGACUCCAAGGAAGGGAGGAAGGGAUGGGGUCGGGGACGUGGAAUGGGGUUGGGGUUGGGGGCGGUGGACGGACAGAUCUCGGGGACGAAUCUCAUGAGCCCGGAGAUGGAGCCUGGCAGCAUAGGGCAGAAGUCGAACAGCAGCAGCGCCGUCAGCAGCGGCAGCCCGGAGAUGGAGCUCCGGCGGCAGCAGGAGCCCGGAUAUGGAGCCCCGCAGCAGCAGGUACGGCAGCAGAGGGAGCCCGGAGAUGGAUCCCCGGCAGCCGCAGGACGAGGAUUGGCAAUGACGGCGGCUGGAUGUGCAGCGCGAGGACGGCGCCUCGAUCUUGGGCUGGAGCUCAGGGGAUUGAGUACGGCGGAUUGA